GAGAGAGCGGAAGCCGGGAAUGGAAUCCCGGUGCAAGCGAGGUACCAGUCACAUCGGAAAAACCGUGUGGCAAUGGGAAGACGUGAUGCGGAGCGAAAUAAAGUAGCGAAGUCCGUGAGCUGUGCGUCAAGAAAAGCCGCUAUUGUUCAUGCCAUACCCGUACCGUAAACCGACACAGGUGGAUGAGGAGAGAAUCCUAAGGCCGGCGGAAGAAGCAUUGUCAAGGAACUCGGCAAAAUGACCCCGUAACUUCGGGAGAAGGGGUGCCACGGAAACGUGGCCGCAGAGAAUAGGCUCAAGCAACUGUUUAGCAAAAACACAGGUCUAUGCGAAACCGUAAGGUGAGGUAUAUGGGCUGACGCCUGCCCGGUGCUGGAAGGUUAAGAGGAGAGGUUAGCGCAAGCGAAGCUUUGAAUUUAAGCCCCAGUAAACGGCGGCCGUAACAAUAACGGUCCUAAGGUAGCGAAAUUCCUUGUCGGGUAAGUUCCGACCCGCGCGAAAGGCGUAAUGAUUUGAGCGCUGUCUCGACAAUGCAUCCGGUGAAAUUGAAGUACCAGUGAAGAUGCUGGUUACCUGCGCCAGGACGGAAAGACCCCAUGGAGCUUUACUCCAGUUUGGUACUGGGAUCCGGUACUGCAUGUACAGGAUAGGUGGGAGGCAGAGAAAUGGUAACGCCAGUUGCCAUGGAGCCGCUGUUGGGAUACCACCCUUGCAGUAUUGGGUUUCUAACCAGCCGCCGUGAACCGGCGGUGGGACAAUGCCAGACGGGGAGUUUGACUGGGGCGGUCGCCUCCGAAAGGGUAUCGGAGGCGCCCAAAGGUUCCCUCAGAAUGGACGGAAACCAUUCGAAGAGUGCAAAGGCAGAAGGGAGCUUGACUGCGACACCGACGGGUGGAGCAGGUACGAAAGUAGGGCUUAGUGAUCCGGUGGUAUUAAGUGGGAAUGCCAUCGCUCAACGGAUAAAAGCUACCCUGGGAUAACAGGCUUAUCACUCCCAAGAGUUCACAUCGACGGAGUGGUUUGGCACCCCGAUGUCGGCUCAUCGCAUCCUGGGGCUGUAGUAGGUCCCAAGGGUUGGGCUGUUCGCCCAUUAAAGCGGUACGCGAGCUGGGUUCAGAACGUCGUGAGACAGUUCGGUCCCUAUCCGGCGUGGGCGUAGGAUAUCUGAGAGGAGCUGUCCUUAGUACGAGAGGACCGGGAUGGACGGACCGCUGGUGUACCGGUUAGACUGCCAAGUCUACGGCCGGGUAGCCAAGUCCGGAAGGGAUAAACGCUGAAGGCAUCUAAGCGUGAAGCCCCCCUCGAGAUGAGAUAUCCCAUCCGAAAGGAGUAAACCCCCUUGAAGACGACGAGGUUGAUAGGGCAGGGGUGGAAGCAUGGCAACAUGUGGAGCUGACUGCUACUAAUAGGGUGAGGGCUUGAUC
rnacentral:rRNA from 1 species